ACCUCCUGCCAGCGGGCGUUCGACACUUCACGUGGCCUCAAGGCAUCAGCAGUGGAGAGACAAAGGCGUCCGGGCGUUGUGUUUGCCACGCAACCUCGCUCAUGGGUCCCCCGUGCCGGCCUUUAUAGGCACCCAACAUCACAUCACAUGCCAAGCUACAGUGUGCAGAUGAGUGUACAGGUGAGUGAGUGUACAGGUGAGUGUGCCAGUGAGUGAGUGUAACGGUGAGUGUACCGGUGAGUGUACAGGUGCGUGAGUGUGCAGGUGAGUGUACAGGUGAGUGAGUGUACAGGUGAGUCUACAGGUGAGUCUACAGGUGAGUGUGCAGGUGCGUGAGUGUGCAGGUGAGUCUACAGGCGAGUGAGCGUACAGGUGAGUGCACAGGUGAGUCUACAGGCGAGUGAGUCUGCAGGCGAGUGAGUGUACAGGUGAGUGCACAGGUGAGUCUACAGGCGAGUGAGUGUACAGGUGAGUGCACAGGUGAGUCUACAGGUGAGUGAGUGUACAGGUGAGUACACAGGUGAGUC